rnacentral:rRNA from 1 species
GUGGGGAAUCUUCCGCAAUGGACGAAAGUCUGACGGAGCAACGCCGCGUGAGUGAAGAAGGUUUUCGGAUCGUAAAGCUCUUUCGUUAGGGACGAACGUGCUCUUUGUGAAUAAUGAGGAGUAAUGACGGUACCUAAAUAAGAAGCCACGGCUAACUACGUGCCAGCAGCCGCGGUAAUACGUAGGUGGCAAGCGUUGUCCGGAAUUAUUGGGCGUAAAGCGCGCGCAGGCGGGAUAUCAAGUCUGUCUUAAAAGUGCGAGGCUCAACCUCGUGAGGGGACAGAAACUGGUAUUCUUGCGUGUCGGAGAGGAAAGUGGAAUUCCAAGUGUAGCGGUGAAAUGCGUAGAGAUUUGGAAGAACACCAGUGGCGAAGGCGACUUUCUGGACGAUGUCUGACGCUGAGGCGCGAAAGCUAGGGGAGCGAACGGGAUUAGAAACCCCGGUAGUCC